GACGAACGCUGGCGGCGUGCCUAACACAUGCAAGUCGAACGGGGCUCUUUGGAUCGAGACUUCGGUCAAGUGAAUCUGAGCUUAGUGGCGGACGGGUGAGUAACGCGUGAGCAACCUGCCUUUCAGAGGGGGACAACAGUUGGAAACGACUGCUAAUACCGCAUAAUGUGUUUUGGGGGCAUCCCUGAAAUACCAAAGAUUUAUCGCUGAAAGAUGGGCUCGCGUCUGAUUAGCUGGAUGGCGGGGUAACGGCCCACCAUGGCGACGAUCAGUAGCCGGACUGAGAGGUUGAACGGCCACAUUGGGACUGAGAUACGGCCCAG
rnacentral:rRNA from 1 species